AGAAGUAGUUUAAUAAGAAUUUCAGCUUUG
rnacentral:piRNA from 1 species